GAUAAACGCUGGCGGCGUGCUUAACACAUGCAAGUCGAACGAUGAAGCUCAGCUUGCUGGGUGGAUUAGUGGCGAACGGGUGAGUAACACGUGAGUAACCUGCCCUUAACUCUGGGAUAAGCCUGGGAAACUAGGUCUAAUACCGGAUAGGAGCGCCUACCGCAUGGUGGGUGUUGGAAAGAUUUAUCGGUUUUGGAUGGACUCGCGGCCUAUCAGCUUGUUGGUGAGGUAAUGGCUCACCAAGGCGACGACGGGUAGCCGGCCUGAGAGGGUGACCGGCCACACUGGGACUGAGACACGGCCCAGACUCCUACGGGAGGCAGCAGUGGGGAAUAUUGCACAAUGGGCGAAAGCCUGAUGCAGCGACGCCGCGUGAGGGAUGACGGCCUUCGGGUUGUAAACCUCUUUCAGUAGGGAAGAAGCGAAAGUGACGGUACCUGCAGAAGAAGCACCGGCUAACUACGUG
rnacentral:rRNA from 1 species